rnacentral:lncRNA from 1 species
CGUGUAUGCACACCGUAUAUAUUUGAUGCAAAAAUGGCUUCAGGGUCCCUGAGCUGCUCGAAGUACUCCUUCCAAAGAUGAUUUUGUGUAUGUUGAGCAGUUUUCCUGACUGCUGGUUCAGUGCAGUGUAGACGGAGGAAGCAGUAGCGCCUGCCUCAGCAGCUUAUAGACAUGUCGGCCAUCUGUGGAGAUUUUUAUUUCCAAAUGUCUUCUGGAUGUUUAGCUUGGGUAGAAAUGUGAAGUUACUCUUCUUAUGGCAUGUUUCUACCGUGCCUCUGCUCCUCGUUACCAUUCAGUUGUUACCUUCCCAUGUUCAUAGAACCUUAUGGUGCUGCGUUGUCUCUUUUGGGAACCGGUGGCAGGAAGACAGUAAAGCCAGAAUGCUUUCAGUGUUGGCACGUCUUUUGUCCUUCAAGAGCAGGAAGAAUAGGAAUGACCCCUCUCUUGGCCUAUAUAUAUAUAUAUAUAUACACACACACACACACAUGUAUGUAUUUUGUGGAGGAAAUGGGUCCUACAGAUCAAUUCUUUUCUAUUUCUUAAGUCUGUGAGCACAUCGGAUAAUGUUUAUUUUUCUUUCUUUGAUUUUCGCACUGGGGUUAACAUACGAGGAAACAGAAAGCAUACGGCAAUAAAUAUUUACUCUUGUGGGAGUCAGGCUUAGCUCUUGGGAAGUGAGUGGGAGUACUCAGUCUACUUCAAAGGGACUUGGAGCGAGCUCUUCAUGCUGUGCUGGAAGAACUGAAGUUUUCUUGAGUUCUCCAGUUCUGCAAGCACUUACACUGGGAAUUUAGUGCUGCUGAUUUUCAUGAAUCUGUUAUGCAAAGCUCAUCCCCUCUGGAGCUUGGGCUUCUGUUAGGUAUCUCAGUAAGAGCAUUUGAAGCCUGCUGAUAAAGUCUGUGUUGCUAUGAAGAAGCGCUUUUGUCUGUAUGGGAAAGCUCUGACCACAAGCUUUGGUUUCUUCCCUCUUUUCUUUUAUAAUUCCUAGAAAGAGAAGGAGAGAUGUGUAGACAAAUGAUAAUAUCUUGCAGGAAUCAGUAGUAAAUAGUUCCCAUUCAUAUUUAAAUAGUGGGCAUUGAAUGACGCUGAAAUCCUAUGUGACAUCAUUAUCAGAUGUUUUUUAGCCCUUUCCAGGAGCAGGUUUAGGACCAGAUUAUUUGUGGCAGAAGAUGACAGCAACGUGCAAGGCAGCAAAAAGGCACCA